CAUUUGCCUAGCGCAGUGCUCCAGGAAGUGAGGUUACAGUCCUGCAAUACGUGAAAGGAAGGGCUGAGGACAACGAGCAUCCAGUGCCUGGCUCUGACAGGUGAAAGGGGCAGUGGCAUGCAGUCGCAGACUCUCCCUAGCGCUGGAUGGAACGCUCACUGAAAAGCUGUGGAGUAACAGCAUGAGACUGUAGGUAGAAUGGCUACUUCACUCCUCAAAUGGAACUGCCUUGGGGCACUCAGGCUUCUUUGACAUAGCAGGAAGAAAACCCGGCUUUAAAAGAGGAGUUCAGACUGGAAGCAGCAAUGUUCCGGGAGGAUUUCUGAGUCAAACAGGAGAGCAACUGCCUUCUCAAAGUGCAUAUUUCAGAGAUCCCUAAAACAUUCCGCUACACAGUUGGAGCAGUCAGGACUGAGAGACCAAUGCCCCAGAGGACCUGGACUUCCCCAGCACUCGCAUGCUGAGCUGCACAAGCCUCUUCAGAGUGGAAAGAGAAAUCCCCAUGCUCUGGCUCACAGGACAUCUCUGGGAUCAGAUGGACUGAGCUGAGCUAACAGAAGACCCGAUUUGGCCCACGAACUCAAGGACAACAACGUGCCACAAGGACGAUGGCGGUGGGGUAUUCGUAACACAGCAGGAGACCUGGUUCACUGAACAUUUUUCCAGCCUUCGUCCGUCACUGUACUCCUCUCCUGUGAACGGCGGCUGCAGCUGUUGAAGGGGAAUGAAGCCGGCGGGGGUUUGGGGGGCCACGUUCACGGGUAAGUGAAGCCCCGCGGGUGCGGCGAGCUGGGGCGCGAGGGCCGCGCCGCCACCAGGUGGCAGCUGGAGCCCAGCUGUGAGCGCGGCCAGGCGGGAAGGUUACACACAAACAACCCCAAACACCAACAACAACAACAAGCCAGCCACAAUUACCGAAUAACCAACACAGUGC